GCUGGAUGAGUGUUGCAAAUCUAAGAAUACCACUGAGAAAGUGCAGGGCAUUCUGGGUUUCACACCUGCUUGGUCCUAUGUCUUCGAGUCCUUGCAAUAUGCAAACCCUGCAUAGCCUUGGCUGGAAGGAAAUCAACUGAAACUCCAUCAGAUCAAGGAUCAAAUGUGGGGUCAGGGCCAGGGCCAGGGCCAGGGCCAGGGUAGGGCCAAGGCCAGGGAAGCACCAUCAUGGAUGUUCUCAAGCUCUCAAGAGCUUGCCUGGCCUGGCCUGCAGUUUCCCUUCAUAGAGAGCAGGCUCCUGAGUUGAAGUUGCCUCAUUUUUUUCUUCAUCUUACCUUAAACAAAUUGUGUAAAGUCCUCAUAUCUCCUUCCCCAUAGCAAGUCAACAUAUGAAACCAGAGGUCAAUGGCUCACAGGGGACUCUGAUCAAACUGAUGCCAAAUCUCAGUGGAGCGAGUAUGUUGGCCUUGCUGAACUGUCAGAUCUUCUGAUGUGAAGAGCUACAUGAGCAUCCUUCAUGAGCACUGAAGAGAGCAAUCUCAAAUCAAGGGAGUAGGAGAAGCUUCGUUUGCCUCCAGCCAGAGUCCUCCUGCAUACCAGAUAACCAGGAGAGCCAAGGACAAGUCAAGCAAGCAUCAGACAAGGUCAGCGUUUCAGAAGCCCCACGGUUGACUGAGUAGAGGCACAAAUUGUCCCAGUGUACUGAGAGGAAGAGCUCAAGUGGCCGCUGGCUUUGUUUUCCCUUGCAUGCUGUGGUGUGUUGCAAAUGAAGUCUUGCCAGAGGAGAGGCAGGGAUGUCUUAGAAGCCUAGUCCUACAAAUGUGAGGCCAGAGGCCGGCCCUCCUCUCAGCUUGUUUGCUUUUCCCUGGAUGGUGUGACCACGCAACUCUCUCUUCCUGUAUAGACUCCAUUUCUUUAGGCAACCCCCACUCAACCCCAUUGCUUUGCUUGUCUAGCACCUGAGUAAGAACAAAGUAGAUGAUGUUAAUGAAUGCUGAACCGAACAGGCCAGAUGUUCCUGUCUUUUUGUAAUACCCAAGAGCAACCUCCCUCUGCCUUCACACCUCUGCCCCAAACACACACCCUGCCACCCCCAGCUCCCCAGUGAAUGCAUGCAUGGUAUGAGACAAUGCAACAGAGGGAGGGUAGGCCUUCAUUCUUGAUUUAAUGUAGAUUUCUUCUGACCAUUGUUAUGGUGGAAACUUCACCCCAGCCCCUGGCAUCCAUAUUACCAAAGAGUCUAUAAUGUUAUGGUGAAAGUUCCAGCCAAGCCCACUCCCCUAUCUUCCUCCAAACCCUGCUGCAUCUCAGAAAGCCCUGCCAAAUGAUGACCCCCUCCCCCAGAGACGCUCAAGACCACUUCCACAGGGUAUUUAAACAGCCUCCCAGAAAACAGACAUGAUUUUCUGGUCUCUCUUUCCCGUUUCCUCUGUGAGGGAAUAGAAGGCUAUCCAGGAGCAUUGUAUCCAUUAAACAUGGGAUUUUU